AUGCACGCUGGCGGCGUGCCUAAUACAUGCCCGUCGAGCGAACGGACGAGAAGCUUGCUUUUCUGAUGUUAGCGGCGGACGGGUGAGUAACACGUGGAUAACCUACCUAUAAGACUGGGAUAACUUCGGGAAACCGGAGCUAAUACCGGAUAAUAUUUUGAACCGCAUGGUUCAAAAGUGAAAGACGGUCUUGCUGUCACUUAUAGAUGGAUCCGCGCUGCAUUAGCUAGUUGGUAAGGUAACGGCUUACCAAGGCAACGAUGCAUAGCCGACCUGAGAGGGUGAUCGGCCACACUGGAACUGAGACACGGUCCAGACUCCUACGGGAGGCAGCAGUAGGGAAUCUUCCGCAAUGGGCGAAAGCCUGACGGAGCAACGCCGCGUGAGUGAUGAAGGUCUUCGGAUCGUAAAACUCUGUUAUUAGGGAAGAACAUAUGUGUAAGUAACUGUGCACAUCUUGACGGUACCUAAUCAGAAAGCCACGGCUAACUACGUG
rnacentral:rRNA from 1 species